rnacentral:rRNA from 1 species
GACGAACGCUGGCGGCGUGCCUAAUACAUGCAAGUAGACCGCAGUUGCGAACGGGUGAGUAACGCGUAGGUAACUGCCUCAUAGCGGGGGAUAACUAUUGGAAACGAUAGCUAAUACCGCAUACUGUGAGAUGUCCCUGCGUUGGAUUAGCUAGUUGGUGAGGUAAAGGCUCAACAAGGCGACGAUACAUAGCCGACCUGAGAGGUGUAGGGGCGACACUGGGAAUGAGACACGGCACAGACUCCUACGAGAGGCAGCAGUAGGGAGUCUUCGGCAAUGGAAGGAAGUCUGACCGAGCAACGACGCGGGAGUGAAGAAGGUUUUCGGAUCGUAAAGCUAUGUAGUUAGAGACGCGGUAACUAACCAGAAAGGGACGGAUAACUACGUGCCAGCAGCCGCGGUAAUAC